GCUUGACUCCCACUUCACAGAAGGAAGGUCUGGUGGUCCUGGUGCCAUUCACCUGCUUUCCAGUUCUCCUCCUUCCAGGUCCUUCCCCACCUUUUAGAAGUUAGGUAUUGCCCGUGUGACUUGCUCCUGCCAGUGAAACAGGAGCAAAAGUGAGUCUUUUCUGGGUGGACACAUUUAAGAGUCAGUGUGUGAUUCUUCUUCUUACCUUCUCUCUGCCCUGGUGACCGAUGACAUUUCAGAUGGUGGAGUCUGGAUGCCUGAGUGAGGAUGGCACGAAUCAGAACCUCCAACUGGCCUGCGAUGGACAUGUAUCGAUAAUUCAGCCUGGACUAUACAAAGGACUUAUCUCCCGCCCAUCCUAAAUCUUAUUUUGGUAGGACCCUAGUUUGAGCAGGGAUGGAACCCAGGCCUGCUGCAUUGGAAAGUGGAGUCUUCGCCACUGGACUGCCAGGGAAGUCCUUGAAAGUAAUCACUUUAAAAUGAACAAUUCAGUCCUGAAAAAAAAAUAAAAAUAAAAAAAAUAAAAUGAACAAUUCAAUGGCAUUUAGUAUAUCCACAAUAUUAUGCAAUCACUACCUCUGUCUUGUUCCAAAGGGUUUCCCUCACUCCAAAAAAAAACCUCAUACCCACUAAACAGCCACCCUGUUCCUUCUGCUCAGCUGUUGGCAAUAACCUGUGCUCUGUCUCUACGCAUUUAUCUCUCCUGAACAUUUCCUAUGGAUUGAAUUGUAUAAUAAUGUGACCCUUCGUUCUUGGCUUCUUACACUUAAU
ensembl:lncRNA